rnacentral:rRNA from 1 species
GACGAACGCUGGCGGCGUGCUUAACACAUGCAAGUCGAACGAAGUGGCGAACGGGUGAGUAAUACGUGAGUAACCUGCCCUCCUUUUUGGGAUAAGCCUUGGAAACGGGGUCUAAUACCGAAUAAAGGGGGAUGGGCUCGCGGCCUAUCAGCUUGUUGGUGGGGUGAUGGCCUACCAAGGCGGUGACGGGGAGCCGGCCUGAGAGGGUGACCGGCGAUGUUGGGACUGAGAAACGGCACAGACUACUACGGGAGGCAGCAGUGGGGGAUAGUGCACAAUGGGCGAAAGCCGUAUGGAGCGGCGCCGAGUGUGGGAUGAAGGCUUGCGGGUUGUAAACCUCUUUGGCUAUCGAACGUGUAGGUGGAGAAGAAGCGCCGGCUAACUACGUGCCAGCAGCCGCGGUAAUAC